rnacentral:rRNA from 1 species
CGACGAAUAUUCCGCAAUGCGCGAAAGCGUGACGGAGCAAUGCCUCGUGCAGGAUGAAGCGGCUUCGCCGUGUAAACUGCUGUCAGGGGCUCGAAAUAUUGAUCAACCCCAAAGGAAGGGCCGGCUAACCUCGUGCCAGCAGCCGCGGUAAUACGCGGGGCCCGAGCGUUAAUCAGAAUCACUGGGCUUAAAGGGUGCGUAGGCUGAUGCGCAAGCGUCUCGUGAAAUCCCUCGGCUCCACCGAGGAAUUGCGGGGCGAACUCCAUGUCAUGCGGCAGAUAGAGGUCGUCGGAACGCCAGGUUGGGCGGUGAAAUGCGUUGAGAGCUAGCGGAACGCCAAAGGUGAAGACAGGCGACUGGGUCUGACCUGACGCUGAGGCACGAAAGCGUGGGGAGCAAACGGGAUUAGAUACCCCCGUAGUCC